rnacentral:misc_RNA from 1 species
CCACUUACCUUUUCCACACCUGUAACAGACUCUACUCUUUUUCUUCUUCUUUCCUUUCGAAACCCCAACAUACUCCGGAUAAAUUGGCUUCACCACAUCAAUAUCUUUCUUCUCAGAUCUAUCAACUGUAUUAAAUGUAACAACUGGUAUUCUCUUCCCUUCAUUGACCACUUGUUUUGGAGGAGGAUUAGGAGGAAUGUGGACAGACCCUGGUGAAGCUGAAGCUGAAGCCGAAGAAAAAUCUGGGUUUUGCAAGACAGACACUACUGACUCCGAACUUGCUGAUACUCUAGGGCUUUGAUUAGGUGAAAUUGUGACACCAGCUAUACGAGACACAGGCAAAGGUAUUGGUUCAAUUACUGGAGGACCAAGAUUUGCAGCCGAUCUUUGUGACUCCGAAAGUGGUUCGGCUGUUGGAAUUGCAUGAGAACUUACAUCAAGGGGUUCAACUUUAGGAACCCUGUAAGGGACUGGAGGGCCUUGAUACUCAAUCGCUAUAGAGUAAUCAAGCUUAGUAUCAUCUUCAGGGAGAGAAGCACCUAGAGGAAGCAUCUUUCUCGCCAAUUCUCUCCAGCUCUCUCCUUCUCUUUGCUCCAUUCUUUCCUCAAUAACACCAAAUAACUAUAUCUUCAACUACAGCAGCAAACUAA